rnacentral:rRNA from 1 species
GAUGAACGCUGGCGGCGUGCCUAAUACAUGCAAGUCGAGCGAACAGACGAGGAGCUUGCUCCUCUGACGUUAGCGGCGGACGGGUGAGUAACACGUGGAUAACCUACCUAUAAGACUGGGAUAACUUCGGGAAACCGGAGCUAAUACCGGAUAACAUGUUGAACCGCAUGGUUCAACAGUGAAAGACGGUCUUGCUGUCACUUAUAGAUGGAUCCGCGCCGCAUUAGCUAGUUGGUAAGGUAACGGCUUACCAAGGCAACGAUGCGUAGCCGACCUGAGAGGGCGAUCGGCCACACUGGAACUGAGACACGGUCCAGACUCCUACGGGAGGCAGCAGUAGGGAAUCUUCCGCAAUGGGCGAAAGCCUGACGGAGCAACGCCGCGUGAGUGAAGAAGGUCUUCGGAUCGUAAAACUCUGUUAUUAGGGAAGAACAAAUGUGUAAGUAACUAUGCACGUCCUGACGGUACCUAAUCAGAAAGCCACGGCUAACUACGUG